GUAAAGCGUGCGCAGGCGGUUUUGUAAGACUGUCGUGAAAUCCCCGGGCUCAACCUGGGAAUGGCGAUGGUGACUGCAAGGCUAGAGUUUGGCAGAGGGGGGUAGAAUUCCACGUGUAGCAGUGAAAUGCGUAGAUAUGUGGAGGAACACCGAUGGCGAAGGCAGCCCCCUGGGUCAAAACUGACGCUCAUGCACGAAAGCGUGGGGAGCAAACAGGAUUAGAUACCCGU
rnacentral:rRNA from 1 species